CUGCUAAACAUAUGUGGUGGAGCUGAGAGCUCUGUGAAACACAGCCCUGCCAGGUUACGUACUGUUGCGGCUCUGCCUGCCCUUAACCAUCUGUGCGAAUCUCACAGUUAUUGCACCCAGCAUCAGGUUUAUAAUGCUUCUGGUCUGC
rnacentral:lncRNA from 1 species